UACGAGAGGUGCAAGCGUUAUUCGGAAUCAUUGGGCGUAAAGGGUGCGUAGACGGCACAUUAAGUCAACUGUUAAAUCUCCUGGCCUAACUGGGAAAGUGCGGUAGAUACUGAUAUGCUAGAGGAUGGAAGAGAGAAGUGGAAUUCUCGGAGUAGCGGUAAAAUGCGUAGAUCUCGAGAGGAACACCGAUGGCGAAGGCAGCUUCUUGGUCCAUUCCUGACGUUGAGGCACGAAAGCGUGGGGAGCAAACAGG
rnacentral:rRNA from 1 species